CAAAGAAGCUACAAGCAAUUUCCAAAUACCUCUAAAACCACAGCAAAUUGAGGAGAGGUGCUCAAUGAGAACAAGAACAGCAGGACUCUCAUGAAACUCUCCCCCACAGCAGCUACAUUUAAAGCAUAAGGAUAUACUCCUGCUUCCAGGUGCCUGGCCACACCAGAGAUAAAGCAUAAACUGGGUUUUACCUCCUAAAUACAAAUAAUGCUUCCUAUUAAAGGAUUUGCUAGACUAGACCAUGAGACUGCCACGGAGCACUUGAUCUGCUGCAGAGCUAACUGUGCCAGCAGCCUCUGAAGUUGGUGAAGUAAAGGUGGUACAAGAAAAGCUACUCUGGAUCUACCAGAAUGAAAGUGCCAAGUACUCAGCUUGAAAUGGAGAGUGGAAGAUACUGUUAGCCAGCAUUUUUCACCUGUGGAAGAAGAUGAAGUUCUAUCAAAGCGGAACAACCCUCUUCUUGGGAGAAUGGCAGCUCAGAAAGUGCCAUGGUAACAUGUCCAUGAAUCCAGGGUAGCUGCCUUGGUGUUUGCUGUAACUUGUUCCAGGAAGCUGGGAUCACACUGGGAGUGGGACUCUUGCGUGACGAUGGCGAUUUACACCUCUGAACCUGUGCCAGUGUGGAGGUAAGUGCGGAAACAGCUGACAAGCCAAGCACCAGCUUCUUGGAAGAGCAGCUGGAGUGAAAUGGGUUGGAAAAGACUUUAAGGGUCAUUUCUGUGGGAAUGGACUGACAAUCCUGCUGCUUGAUUAGUGUGUAAAGAAAGUGUAAAGAAACCAAAGCCUUCAGGUGUCUCAUUUUCAGCAGAGUUAAAUUCCUAAAAGACGGCCGGCAUGUCCAUGCCCCAAAGUCAGACAUGAUUUGUCUUUGAGACUUGCCAGAGACUGUCUUCAGCAAAGGAAGAACCAGCUGAUUGGAGACACAGAAGCACACUUCAGCAGAGGAAAUUGUAUCCUUUUCACAUCUGAAGUUUGAAACAUCUGUGUGGGGGCAUGAACACCUGUGGGAGUAGUGGUUUUCCAGGUCUGUCUCCUAAGAAGGAAUUUGGAAUCAUUGAAUUGAGGUAGGUUGCAGCCCUGUUAUCUUUAGGGUCUCAUCAUUUGCAGUCCACCUAGCAAAACUGCUACAGAACUUUGUUUCCAUUAGCCUGAGGGCACUUGGAGGGAUAGCUAAAUUUUGGAUGACAGUUUGUAAGUUUAUUUUGAUACUUUGAAGGAGAAAAAUAAAAUGGGUAGUAGCAAUAUUAUUUAUGAGAGAAUUUGGUUCCUAGGCUUUGCUUUCCCUGCAGGCCUUAAAAUGGGCAGCACUGGGAGACUUCUGCUGCAUAAAGGGGACAUCAGCUGUUUGUCACUUUCUCGCUCUUUCCUGUUCAUGUAAAUGAGCAAUGACUACUGCAAAUGAUGGUGAGAGCUGGAGACAGCCUUCUGCCUCUUCAGUGACAUUUUCUCUUAGAAAAAAACCCAUAUGAAAUGAAAUUCAAAACGGAUCAUGCUAAAAUGCUGUAGACAACUUGCUAAAUCUUCAUUCAGGCAAUUCCUGUGAGCUUUUCUGUCAUUUGAUAGUCGUAUGGCUCUGUCACUGAAAAGUUUUUGAUGUUUUGUAAAGGUUUCCAGUGCCCUUGGCAUUUCAGAGGGGAUAUUUGUGCAACUGCUACUUGCUUCCCCUUCAGGGAGAUG